rnacentral:rRNA from 1 species
GCUACGGGAGGCAGCAGUGAGGAAUAUUGGUCAAUGGGCUUACGCCUGAACCAGCCAAGUCGCGUGAGGGAAGACUGCCCUAUGGGUUGUAAACCUCUUUUGUCAGGGAGCAAUUGGCGCUACGUGUAGCGUUAUCGAGAGUACCUGAAGAAAAAGCAUCGGCUAACUCCGUGCCAGCAGCCGCGGUAAUACGGAGGAUGCGAGCGUUAUCCGGAUUUAUUGGGUUUAAAGGGUGCGUAGGCGGAAUGCCAAGUCAGCGGUAAAAUCGCGGGGCUCAACCUCGCUCCGCCGUUGAAACUGGCAGUCUUGAGUACAGUAGAGGUGGGCGGAAUUCGUGGUGUAGCGGUGAAAUGCUUAGAUAUCACGAAGAACUCCGAUUGCGAAGGCAGUUCACUGGACUGCAACUGACACUGAGGCUCGAAAGUGUGGGUAUCAAACAGGAUUAGAUACCCUAGUAGUC